GCCCAUUUGAGCAACCAAUGGUAGCGCCCAGAAAGAGACGUACGCUCUUCGUCUUCCAGUAGCAGACAGCACGUUGAACGCAUGCGUUCUGAGCGAAUCUAAGACAAGGAUCUGCUGGCGGGUCGCGUCGCAGACAUGGAGCAAGGCUACGGAGGCUAUGGGGCAUGGAGUGCUGGACCUGCCAACACCCAGGGUACAUAUGGAAGUGGUAUGACCAGCUGGCAAGGUUAUGAAAACUACAACUACUACAAUGCCCAGAACACCAGUGUCCCUGCAGGAACACCCUAUAGUUACGGCCCAGCCUCAUGGGAGGCCACCAAGACCAAUGAUGGUGGCCUGGCAGCUGGGAGCCCUGCCAUGCAUGUGGCGUCUUUUGCCCCAGAGCCAUGUACCGACAACUCAGACUCGCUCAUUGCCAAGAUCAAUCAACGUUUGGACAUGUUGUCUAAGGAAGGAGGCAGGGGUGGGAUCAGCAGCGGUGGGGAGGGCGUGCAGGACCGAGACAGCUCCUUCCGCUUCCAGCCAUACGAGUCCUACGACGCCAGGCCCUGUAUACCUGAGCAUAAUCCCUACCGCCCCGGCUACGGUUAUGAUUAUGACUUUGACUUGGGAACUGACCGCAAUGGUAGCUUUGGUGGGACAUUCAACGACUGUCGGGACCCAGCCCCAGAGCGGGGCUCCCUUGAUGGUUUCUUGAGGGGCCGGGGCCAGGGCCGCUUCCAAGACCGGAGCAACUCCAGCACCUUCAUACGUAGUGACCCUUUCAUGCCACCCUCAGCCUCGGAGCCCUUAUCCACUACGUGGAAUGAGCUGAACUACAUGGGUGGCCGUGGUCUCGGUGGGCCCUCCACCAGCAGGCCACCUCCUUCCCUCUUCUCCCAGUCCAUGGCCCCUGACUACAGCAUGAUGGGCAUGCAGGGGGUGGGCGGUUUUGGUGGUACCAUGCCUUACGGAUGUGGCCGGUCCCAGACGCGGAUACGGGAUUGGCCUAGAAGGAGGGGGUUUGAACGCUUUGGACCAGACAACAUGGGCAGGAAGCGGAAGCAGUUUCCAUUGUAUGAAGAACCUGAUGCCAAACUGGCCCGUGCUGACAGUGACGGAGAUCUGUCUGAAAACGAUGAUGGAGCUGGUGACUUAAGAUCAGGAGAUGAAGAAUUCAGGGGGGAGGAUGACUUGUGUGACUCCAGGAAGCAGAGAGGUCCUGCUACCCAACCGGGAUGACUUUGCUAUUAAACAGCAGUCAUAGUUUCAGGCAGUGACCUCUUGCCAAAAGUCCCACACGUCCUUUUGAGAGGCUUCUGAGCAGCGCACGCCGGUCGCCAUCUUCGUGGGACAGUCUCGGGACUGGCACCAGGGGUAGGGGUUACAGUUCAGAUGCUUAUCCAACCUUUUUUCAGCAUCCAGCCUUGACCCUCAGCCUGGGGCUCUGGUGUGGUCUCAUGCUGAGAUGCUGGCCACAGGCCUCUCCUGGGAGCUAUGCCAGCCCCAAGGAGUAGAUGGGAGGACCAGUCGGUCUCUUCCCAUUUUUGUUUCUAGGAUUGUUUCCCACCUGGCCUUGGGAAAGUCCAAGGAUGUUGGUUUUGUGAGUGGAAACUAGAGAUUGGGCCAGCAAGGACUGUCAGACCUGCUGAGUCCCUAGUUCAGAUGAAGCCAGCAAGACAGUCACCACAACCCACCUAGACAUGGGAUGGAGGGUGGCACUGCAGCUUGUUAUAUUUCCUGAGACUUUCUAGCUGCUGCCUCUGUUGGGGAUAUUUGCAGCUCUUUGAGUGAUGUGGGAGAAGAGCCAACAACAAAGUGAUAUAUUGGACAACAGCCUGGGACAGAACAGAGUAGGUGGCCAUGAGUGGGAUGGGCCUCUGCCCAUCAGGCCAUGGGAGGAGUGAGGCAACUCCUCUGGGUUCUCAUCCUGGUACACCAGGAACCUCUAACAGCUCCUCGGUGCCUUGGGGUAUCCUAGCCCCACCACAAAUGUAAUGGAAGCUGGGCACAGGGUGUGGCUGCCAGGCUGCAGCAUCCAACUUGGCCCCUGGAGCUGAGCUUUCCUGCAGGCUCCUCAGUGUCUCGAGGGGACUUUUCUGUUACAGGAGAAAAGGAGGACGAGGAUGAGGAUGUGAAGAAGAGACGGGAGAAACAAAGGAGGAGAGACAGGAUGCGGGACCGAGCAGCUGACAGGAUUCAGUUUGCCUGUUCUGUAUGCAAGUUUCGUAGCUUUGAAGAUGAAGAAAUUCAAAAGCAUCUGCAAAGUAAAUUUCACAAAGAGACUUUGCGAUUUAUAAGUACCAAACUGCCCGACAAGACAGUAGAAUUCCUCCAGGAGUACAUCAUAAACAGGAAUAAGAAAAUUGAGAAACGGCGUCAGGAGUUGUUGGAGAAGGAGAGCCCUAAACCCAAACCAGAUCCAUUCAAAGGCAUUGGCCAGGAGCAUUUCUUCAAAAAGAUUGAAGCCGCACAUUGCCUAGCCUGUGACAUGCUGAUUCCUGCGCAGCAUCAGCUUCUCCAGCGGCAUCUGCAUUCCGUGGACCAUAACCAUAAUCGAAGGUUGGCUGCUGAGCAGUUCAAGAAAACAAGUCUCCAUGUGGCUAAGAGUGUUUUGAACAACAAACAUAUAGUGAAGAUGCUGGAAAAAUACCUCAAGGGUGAGGAUCCUUUUGUCAAUGAAACUGCUGACCUUGAGACAGAAGGAGAUGAAAAUGUAGGAGAGGAGAAGGAGGAGACACCAGAGGAGGUAGCUGCCGAAGUCUUAGCAGAGGUGAUCACAGCAGCAGUGAAGGCUGUAGAGGGGGAAGGAGAACCUGCUGCAGCGCAUAGUGACGUCCUAACUGAAGUGGAAGGGCCUGUGGACACAGCAGAGGCCAGCAGUGACCCCCACACUGAAAAGCUACUAGAAGAGCAGACCUGUGAAGCAGCAUCUGAAACCAGGAGCAUCGAAGACAAGACCAGAGGUGAGGCUGCUGAGGCCAGAAACGAAGCAGCUAUGCCAACAGCAGACGCAGGAAGCACGUUACCUGUCAUAGCAAUCCCGGGAAUCAUGGAAGAUGAGCUGGAACAAACUGGUGCAGAGGCCAAAGAUAUUCCCACCGAAUGAUUUUUUUCUUCCCUGUUUCAAGGGAUAUGUUAUAUAUCAUGUGUUCUUUUUAUUUUAUAAGAUGUACUAGGGUGUGUAUUAUUUGGUGGAAAGAUUGGGCCAUUUCCUUCCCAAUGUACCUCAAGGAUUGAUGCUAUACAGUAGAUGGCUUCCUACCUCUGUUAGAAUACAAAAAGAGGUAAACCAUUUUCCCAAGUGGCCUUUGAUGGCUAUCUGUGCACUGCAGUUAGAAUAAUAAAAGUAGAUCUUCCUGGUAAUUGUUAAGUCCUAAAACGGACAGAAUGUGAGGAUUUUUUUGUGUGUGUGUUAUGUUUUUGUUUGGUUGGUCUUUGUUUCGUUUUAUUUGCUUUUUCUCCUGGAAAGCAAUUUGUUACAAAUAUAACUUGUUUGAGGGGGAAAAAAUUAAUUAUUUAGGGGAAUUCCCUUAUUCACAUAUGAAUUUAUUCAUAAAUUAUGCAUGGUUGAUGUGGGACACACACGAUUCAACCAUCCAUGUGUGCGAGAGCUCAGAUUGUGCCCCCUACCAAUAACAGUCCUGCCUGUUUCAAUAAACAUCAGACCAAUUUUUUGUUUGUUUUGUUUUUGGUUGGUUGGUUUUUCGAGACAGGGUUUCUCUCUGUAGCCCUGACUGUCCUGGAACUCACUCUGUAGACCAGGCAGGCCUCAAACUCAGAAAUCUACCUGCCUCUGCCUCCCAAGUGCUGGGAUUAAAGGCAUGCGCCACCAUGCCCGGCUCAUCAGACCUUUUUUUAAGGCCUUUAUUUUAGCUUUGGCAUUGAGAUAGCAUCUUGCUUGGACCAAGCUUGCCUUUGAAUUCAAUCCUCCUAUCUCAGUCUCUGGAGUACUAGGACCAUGUGUGUACAGCCAAGCUCAGCUGGGCUUUGGUUUUAUAAUACACUGUAUUCUAUGUUCCUCACCUGAUGUGGCAGCAUCCUGUUAACUAAAGGCAUAACAAGAUGGUGACCUUGGCCUGUGUAUAAGAUUGUCAGAGCUGUUCCAUAGGAAGCAUGCCUACCUGGGCCUCUAGAGUGAAGACACUGCCGAAGGCAUUCGUUCUCUCUGUUCAGUGCUUGCUAAUCAGUUUGAUGUUUGUGUUCCACCUCUAUUUGUGCAGGAUUAUGGGUUUUUGUUUUGUUUUCUCUUAAUUUUGUUAUUUCCACCUAAAAGUACUUAGGAAAAAAACCUGAAAUUACUCAUUGAUGAAAAACAAAUGUAAACUUCCGUAGAUGGGAUCUAUCUGUAAAAAGCUCACACAGUUACGUAAAGAUGUUUCAUUUUAAGCAAAUAGUAUUCCUUUGGCAGUUCUGAGUCUGAGAAAGGGAGGCUCAGCAUGUCUGUAAAGUAGCAUGUACUAGGUUUUAUAGGGUCAGUAUGAUGGGUUUUCCUCCCUUUUGAAGUUACAAUACUGUGUCCAUUAACUGUACACAGAUCACAUCUUGGAAAUAUCAACCAGUGAAGAAUUAUAAAAGAGGCAAUAAAAUAUUGCAGGGAUUAAAUCAGCACUCUGUGAAGGAGCAUUACUAGGGGGUAGGAGAUGCACUUUGGGAAUAUCCUCGAAACAAGCAAUAAACUGAUGCCACGAAGA